GCCGGGAUGGUGGAAUUGGCAGACACGUACGCUUGAGGUGCGUAUGGGCUUUCCCGUGGGGGUUCAAGUCCCCCUCCCGGCA
rnacentral:tRNA from 1 species